GAUGAACGCUAGCGGCAGGCCUAACACAUGCAAGUCGAGGGAGGAGCUUUCGGGCUUCGACCGGCGUACGGGUGCGUAACGCGUAUACAAUCUGCCUUUCACAUAGGGAUAGCCCGAAGAAAUUUGGAUUAAUACCUAAUGGUAUAUAGGAGUGGCAUCACAUUUAUAUUAAAGCUGAGGCGGUGAAAGAUGAGUAUGCGUUCUAUUAGCUAGUUGGAGAGGUAACGGCUCCCCAAGGCGACGAUAGAUAGGGGUUCUGAGAGGGAUAUCCCCCACACUGGUACUGAGAUACGGACCAGGCUCCUACGGGAGGCAGCAGUGAGGAAUAUUGGACAAUGGUCGGAAGACUGAUCCAGCCAUGCCGCGUGCAGGAAGACGGCCUUAUGGGUUGUAAACUGCUUUUGCAGGGGAAGAAUAAGGACUACGAGUAGUUUGAUGACGGUACUCUGCGAAUAAGCAUCGGCUAACUCCGUG
rnacentral:rRNA from 1 species